UUGAAUGCAUUAUUUAUGAAUAAAAAAACUUUAUUUUGUCUGUGUCACUUUAUGUUAUUCCUCAAAAUUACAGUUGGCAUUUCUGAUCAAUUCACCUUUAUUGCCAUGUGUACAGUCUCUUAUAUUCGUAAGAUGACUUUUGUUUAUCUCUUAAAUCUAUUUUGAUGAAAUGCUCAUCAAAUCAUUUUUUUAGUAAGACAAAACGGUUGCUUCAACUUAAAUCUGUGAACUAGUAGUCUUCUUUUGCAUAUCAAGGCUAUAGCAAACAUCUUGACAACAUUGAAACCAUUUCUA
rnacentral:lncRNA from 1 species